CCUACGGGUGGCUGCAGUGAGGAAUAUUGGUCAAUGGACGCAAGUCUGAACCAGCCAUGCCGCGUGCAGGAAGACGGCUCUAUGAGUUGUAAACUGCUUUUGUACGAGGGUAAACGCAGAUACGCGUAUCUGUCUGAAAGUAUCGUACGAAUAAGGAUCGGCUAACUCCGUGCCAGCAGCCGCGGUAAUACGGAGGAUUCAAGCGUUAUCCGGAUUUAUUGGGUUUAAAGGGUGCGUAGGCGGUCGGAUACGUUAGAGGUGAAAUCCCGGGGCUCAACUUCGGAAUCGCCGCUGAUACUGGUCGGCUAGAGAGGAGUGGAGGUAGGCGGAAUGUAUGGUGGAGCGGUGAAAUGCUUAGAGAUCAUACAGAACACCGAUUGCGAAGGCAGCUUACCAAGCUACCUCUGACGUUGAGGCACGAAAGCGUGGGGAGCAAACAGGAUUAGAUACCCGGGUAGUC
rnacentral:rRNA from 1 species